UAUGGUAAUCCAGCAGCCGCGGUAAUACGUAGGCGGCAAGCGUUGUCCGGAAUUAUUGGGCGUAAAGGGAGCGCAGGCGGGAAACUAAGCGGAUCUUAAAAGUGCGGGGCUCAACCCCGUGAUGGGGUCCGAACUGGUUUUCUUGAGUGCAGGAGAGGAAAGCGGAAUUCCCAGUGUAGCGGUGAAAUGCGUAGAUAUUGGGAAGAACACCAGUGGCGAAGGCGGCUUUCUGGACUGUAACUGACGCUGAGGCUCGAAAGCUAGGGUAGCGAACGGG
rnacentral:rRNA from 1 species